rnacentral:rRNA from 1 species
CGAAUUCCUCUACACUCGACUGGGAACUGGGUCUAAUACCGGAUAUGACUCCUCAUCGCAUGGUGGGGGGUGGAAAGCUUUAUUGUGGUUUUGGAUGGACUCGCGGCCUAUCAGCUUGUUGGUGAGGUAAUGGCUCACCAAGGCGACGACGGGUAGCCGGCCUGAGAGGGUGACCGGCCACACUGGGACUGAGACACGGCCCAGACUCCUACGGGAGGCAGCAGUGGGGAAUAUUGCACAAUGGGCGAAAGCCUGAUGCAGCGACGCCGCGUGAGGGAUGACGGCCUUCGGGUUGUAAACCUCUUUCAGUAGGGAAGAAGCGAAAGUGACGGUACCUGCAGAAGAAGCGCCGGCUAACUACGUGCCAGCAGCCGCGGUAAUACGUAGGGCGCAAGCGUUAUCCGGAAUUAUUGGGCGUAAAGAGCUCGUAGGCGGUUUGUCGCGUCUGCCGUGAAAGUCCGGGGCUCAACUCCGGAUCUGCGGUGGGUACGGGCAGACUAGAGUGAUGUAGGGGAGACUGGAAUUCCUGGUGUAGCGGUGAAAUGCGCAGAUAUCAGGAGGAACACCGAUGGCGAAGGCAGGUCUCUGGGCAUUAACUGACGCUGAGGAGCGAAAGCAUGGGGAGCGAACAGGAUUAGAUACCCUGGUAGUCCAUGCCGUAAACGUUGGGCACUAGGUGUGGGGGACAUUCCACGUUUUCCGUACCGUAGCUAACGCAUUAAGUGCCCCGCCUGGGGAGUACGGCCGCAAGGCUAAAACUCAAAGGAAUUGGCGGGGGGGAGCACAG